rnacentral:rRNA from 1 species
CAGCAGCCGCGGUAAUACGUAGGUCCCGAGCGUUGUCCGGAUUUAUUGGGCGUAAAGCGAGCGCAGGCGGUUAGAUAAGUCUGAAGUUAAAGGCUGUGGCUUAACCAUAGUACGCUUUGGAAACUGUUUAACUUGAGUGCAAGAGGGGAGAGUGGAAUUCCAUGUGUAGCGGUGAAAUGCGUAGAUAUAUGGAGGAACACCGGUGGCGAAAGCGGCUCACUGGCUUGUAACUGACGCUGAGGCUCGAAAGCGUGGGGAGCAAACAGGAUUAGAGACCCCCGUAGUCCCUGUCUCUUAUACA